rnacentral:rRNA from 1 species
CNCACUCNNNAANNAUCCUUCCGUAGGUGAACCUGCGGAAGGAUCAUUACCGAGUGCGGGUCUUUAUGGCCCAACCUCCCACCCGUGACUAUUGUACCUUGUUGCUUCGGCGGGCCCGCCAGCGUUGCUGGCCGCCGGGGGGCGACUCGCCCCCGGGCCCGUGCCCGCCGGAGACCCCAACAUGAACCCUGUUCUGAAAGCUUGCAGUCUGAGUGUGAUUCUUUGCAAUCAGUUAAAACUUUCAACAAUGGAUCUCUUGGUUCCGGCAUCGAUGAAGAACGCAGCGAAAUGCGAUAACUAAUGUGAAUUGCAGAAUUCAGUGAAUCAUCGAGUCUUUGAACGCACAUUGCGCCCCCUGGUAUUCCGGGGGGCAUGCCUGUCCGAGCGUCAUUGCUGCCCUCAAGCCCGGCUUGUGUGUUGGGCCCUCGUCCCCCGGCUCCCGGGGGACGGGCCCGAAAGGCAGCGGCGGCACCGCGUCCGGUCCUCGAGCGUAUGGGGCUUCGUCUUCCGCUCCGUAGGNANCGGCCGGCGCCCGCCGACGCAUAUUUUUGCAACUUGUUUUUUUCCAGGUGACCUCGAUCNGGAGGAUCAAU